GUCUACGGCCAUGCCACCCUGAACAAGCCCGGUCCCGUCUGGUCUCGGAAGCUGAGCAGGGUCGGACCUGGUUAGUACUUGGAUGGGAGACCACCUAGGAAGACCAGGUGCUGUAGGCG
rnacentral:rRNA from 1 species